GAGGCCAAUAGGCACAGUCAGCAGUAGGAGAGAAGCUGGGGUUGUAACUCAGGGUUCUGAUCUGAUUCAACUAUGCAAAUUCUCUGAAUCUUGUCCAAGGCUACACAACUGGAAAACAGGAAAGUUCACUUUCAAAGCCAGGUUCUCCAUUAUGCCAUUGGCCUGAAGUCUUAACUGGAGCCAAGUAUGGUAGAUUUAUGCCCUUAAACCUGCCCAACUAUGAGCCAAGGAUCUGUCAAGUUCCUUUUGAAAAUGUCCCUUGAAAUGGAAAUUCUCCUUUUCCUGAACACCGUCUAAAGUCUAACCAACUCUGCCUGGUAGAUCAUCAUGACUUCCCUAUAACAGUCUCCACUGGGACAGCACUGUCAAUCCAAUCAUUUAUCCACAUAGCUGUCAAUUCCUCCCGUUCCUUAAGAUGUCUGCUUGAU